rnacentral:rRNA from 1 species
UACGUAGGGUGCAAGCGUUGUCCGGAAUUAUUGGGCGUAAAGAGCUCGUAGGCGGUUUGUCGCGUCUGCUGUGAAAACCCGAGGCUCAACCUCGGGCCUGCAGUGGGUACGGGGCAGACUAGAGUGCGGUAGGGGGAGAUUGGAAUUCCUGGUGUAGCGGUGGAAUGCGCAGAUAUCAGGAGGAACACCGAUGGCGAAGGCAGAUCUCUGGGCCGUAACUGACGCUGAGGAGCGAAAGCGUGGGGAGCGAACAGG